CUUUGGACUUCUGCCUAGGAA
rnacentral:piRNA from 1 species